rnacentral:rRNA from 1 species
GACGAACGCUGGCGGCGUGCUUAACACAUGCGAGUCGAACGGAAAGGCCCUGCUUUUGUGGGGUGCUCGAGUGGCGAACGGGUGAGUAACACGUGAGUAACCUGCCCUUGACUUUGGGAUAACUUCAGGAAACUGGGGCUAAUACCGGAUAGGAUCUCCUGCUGCAUGGUGGGGGUUGGAAAGUUUCGGCGGUUGGGGAUGGACUCGCGGCUUAUCAGCUUGUUGGUGGGGUAGUGGCUUACCAAGGCUUUGACGGGUAGCCGGCCUGAGAGGGUGACCGGCCACAUUGGGACGGAGAUACGGCCCAGACUCCUACGGGAGGCAGCAGUGGGGAAUAUUGCACAAUGGGCGGAAGCCUGAUGCAGCAACGCCGCGUGCGGGAUGACGGCCUUCGGGUUGUAAACCGCUUUCGCCUGUGACGAAGCGUGAGUGACGGUAAUGGGUAAAGAAGCACCGGCUAACUACGUG